rnacentral:rRNA from 1 species
UAGCCAUACCGAACGAUGCCACGAUAUUGAGGACGGCCUUCGGAUUGUAAAGCUCUGUCGUAAGGGAACAACAUUCAGGAUAGGAAAUGAUCUUGAACUGACGGUACCUUACCAGAAAGCCACGGCUAACUACGUGCCAGCAGCCGCGGUAAUACGUAGGUGGCAAGCGUUAUCCGGAAUUAUUGGGCGUAAAGGGUGCGUAGGCGGUUUAUUAAGUCUAUGGUGAAAGUGCGGGGCUCAACCCCGUAUGGCCAUAGAAACUGGUAGACUUGAGUGCAGGAGAGGGCAAUGGAAUUCCAUGUGUAGCGGUAAAAUGCGUAGAUAUAUGGAGGAACACCAGUGGCGAAGGCGGUUGCCUGGCCUGUAACUGACGCUGAAGCACGAAAGCGUGGGGAGCAAAUAGGAUUAGAUACCCUAGUAGUCCACGCCGUAAACGAUGAAUACUAAGUGUUGGAGAAAUUCAGUGCUGCAGUUAACGCAAUAAGUAUUCCGCCUGGGGAGUAUGCACGCAAGUGUGAAACUCAAA